rnacentral:rRNA from 1 species
UACGUAGGGGGCUAGCGUUGUCCGGAAUCAUUGGGCGUAAAGCGCGUGUAGGCGGUUCGGUAAGUCCGCUGUGAAAGUCGGGGGCUCAACCCUCGAAUGCCGGUGGAUACUGUCGGACUAGAGUACGGAAGAGGUGAGUGGAAUUCCUGGUGUAGCGGUGAAAUGCGCAGAUAUCAGGAGGAACACCAAUUGCGAAGGCAGCUCGCUGGGACGUUACUGACGCUGAGACGCGAAAGCGUGGGGAGCAAACAGG